GGCCACUGUCUGCAGCACAUAGCACUGGCUGGUUAUAAAGGACUUGUCUAGGGGAGAGCCUGUAGGUACUCCAUUGUCUGAUGGAUCUGAGAACGCUGUCUGGGCUUGGUACCAAGAGCUGGUAUUUCACAGCAGCGACCGCCUCACAGACGAGCUGUGGGAAGCAGGAGGGAGACUCUCUCUUAGGGUGCCACUACUAUGGAGACACAGCUGGGCUGAACAAGAUUUGCUUCAAACGACAACAAGAGAGACAGAAAGUAUCUGGUUCAACCGCUGCCCGAGCAGGCAGGCACCAGAAGAGCUAGCAGCCAAUCCGGCCAUGCUCGAAGCCAGCUCUGCAGCUCAGCCAAUCAGUGACAUCAUUGCUUUCUUUAGCUUGCCCAUGGUGAUGUGAAGAUGAGAAGAAAUAGCAAGGCCCAACCAGUUCUUCAUCUGGAGACAGUUCAACGUUCUGCAAACCAGAUCUUCAGGAAUUUUACUGGGAUAAUUAUCCAAAUAAAUUGCAAGCAUUCUAUCCAAAUGGAGCUCUUUCUGAGAUGAAGAGAAUUCUCAAUGUCAAGAUUUGAACAAGAAGAGAAUGGAAUACACAAUAUGGACAUCCAUAAAAAUUCAUCAGAGAGCAUUUUACUACUGAGCUGCAAAGAUGACAAGAGCACCUCAAAGGCAGCAGCCUCAAGGAGCAGCCAUGGCCCCAGACUUGUCGCACGGAUGCAGAAAACUUAAUGGAGGAGGCUGAGGUCAGAAUGGGAAGAGUUUUUAAAAAAUAAAAAGGGGAGCUAAUAUGUGAGGAACUGAUUGCUGUGCAUUAUUUUCCACUGAACAGACCUUCUUUUAACUUCUAAUCUCAAGCACAUAGCAGCUGUUGUUUUCAUAUUAAAGAUCAGUAAGUGUUUGUUGAAUGAAUGUAUAAAUUCUUCCCCAAUCUCUGUUCCAUGUAAUAAGAACUAAGUUAGCAUUCAAUUAUAAAGAGGACUUAGAAAGUCUGCAGACAUUUUUGAUCAAAAAUCCUUUUAACUGUCUUCUUAUGGUUCCCGGUAACACCUAAGCCCAAAAAACUCAGGUCAUUUCUUGCCUGUACUGUUGCAAUAGCCUCAUAAUAACUAGUCUUCUCCUUUAUCAACCACAGUCGUCUCCGCUACACAAAGAAGAGAGGGUGCUAAUCUAAAGUGUAAAUUAUUUUAAAUCAGCACCCUUCUUGUAAUUUCCCAGUGGUUUUUCCUGUCAUAAGAAUAACAUGCAAAAUUCCUUGCUUGCAAAGCCAGGUAUGACCUUGCCCCGUCUACCUUACUGGCAUCGUCUCUCAUGACUCUUCCCCUUUUUCACUCUCCAUCUUGCCUUUUCCCAACCAUGCCUGCUAGUGAGCCUUAGCCCUUGUGUUUUCUCUGCCAGGGAUGCAUGACUGGCUUCUUUACUUUAUUCUGAUCUCUCUGCUCAAAUGUCAUCUUUUUAGAGAUAGCUUUCCUAAACAUCUUUAAAAGUACCCCAUGAACUGUGAAACACCUUUCCUGCUUUUUCUUCAUAGUACUUAUCACUUCCUGAUAUUAUGUUAGACAACAAGCAAAUAAGUAUAUGCUGUUCCCACUAAAAUAUAAGCUCCAUUUGAACAGGAGCCUUGAUUAUUCCUGAGUAUACCCCUAGUGCCCAGAACCUAGUAGGGCUUUAAUAAAUAUUAGAUUCAUUUGUUGAAUGAAAAAAUGAAUGAAUAAUUGAAUAAAGAUAUCCAGGUAGAGUGUCCGGGCAGCCCAACCUAUGUGAAGCCAGUACAAGAAUGUUUCUGUGACAUAGUGAGCGCAAUUAUUCCUCUAAAUGAUGAACUUGCAUGAGUACACAAGGAUAAAAUUAAGCACGUAGUUUAGAUUUCUGCAAGUCUCUUCCUCAGAUUGAGGAAAAACAAAGAAAUUGAGCUUAUUCUCACCUCAUUCUUACAUGAACUAAAUCCAGAAUAAAGCAUCAUUUAAAUACCAAGCACAUCCCUACCUCAGCCACUCAUGGAAUACUUUAUCUGUAAAGGGACAGAUAGAUAGUAAAUAUUUUUGGCUUUGGGGACCGUACAGUCUGUGUCGCCACUACUCAGCACUUCUGUUGAGGUGUGGAAUCAGCCCUAGACAACACAUAAACAAAUGGGUGUGGCUGUGUUCCAAUAAAAUGUUAUUUAUAAAACUAGGAAAUCAGCAGAUUUAGUCCACAGGCUGUAGUUUGCUGACCCUUGAAUUAGAGAGUCUUCCCCAAAUCCUCUUCCCAAGUUAUUGAAAGAAUGCCCAUAGGACCAUAGCUCCCUCACCUGGUUCUUUCAAGAAAUGAGACAAAUUCAGGGAUGGUUGGAGGGUGGAACGCCUACCUGUGACAUGACUAUUGAGCCUGAUUUCUUUCCUUUUAUCUCUUUAAAGUGAGUCAGGUCUUAACUUUAAACUGUCUCUAAAGUGGCAAUAACUGGGCCAUGUCAAAUACUCCCAAUGACAAAAUUUCUUCUUGGAGAAUGAAUGAGGGUUGCAUACAGUGGUGUGUUGGUAAAUGUUUAGCAACUGGCUCUCUUACUGAUUUCUGUAGUGUAAAUUCUCCCAUCCUGGCCAUCUGAAACUACCAAUAUGAUGUCACUUGAUGUAGAGUUGGGAAAAGACAGUCUCUUGAAUAAGUAUGAGCUGGUUCCAGCCCACUGCUGAACACAUAUUUAAAAGCUACAAUAGCUCUGCUCACUGCCAUUGCAGAGUCUGGAGGAAAGAGUAGCAGGCUUGAUAGGAGCAAUUGGCUGAAUAAUCUUUUGCAAUGCCAAUAAAUAAUGAAAAAGUAUAUAAAUAUAACGCUGUAUAGAAAGCUCUCAAGUUCAGUGUUUGGUUAAAAUACAUACUCAGUAAAUGGUAGCUAUUAUUGUCUUAGUUUAAGUUAUUGCAAGCAUUAAAAUUAAAUGUUUAGCUACAGACUCAAUCCAGUUUUAAUGUCAUUGUGUUAAUAAGGCCUCUUAACAUUGAAGCAACAAAGAUAAAGGAAUUUUUUUGUAGCUAUUCACGAUUCUGCCCAGCUCAAGGUAAAGAUAGCAACAAAAUACUCCAACCAGAAUAAAAGAAGUCUCCACUUGACUGCAGCUCUUCGCAACACUUCACAAGGGUCAAGCUGUGUUAGUUUCCUUCAGUGUUAAACAGAAUGCAUCUUAAGAGAAUAGUUCAAUUAUUGAUUGAAUAGUAGGUUCAAGUUGACUAUAAUCCCAACUAAUACACUCUAAGACCAGGGAUGGGCCGACAGAAGGGUAAAGUUUUCCACUCAAGUCUCGAGGCAAACACUCAGAUAGAAGUAGUAAUAUGGAUGCCUUCUAUUAUUUGGUCACAUACAAUACUGUUCCAGCCCAGUUGUGCAAAACUGGUGAAAUAAAAGGCAAAAAUAUUGACAACAGUUUGGGUAACUGGAUUCCAAAAUGGGCAUCCAUCUAAGAGAAAUUAAUGAAAAAAAAGCAUAUGGACCUUGAAAUACAUUAAUACACAGUUUAGGUUUAAACACUCAGUUUUUAUUAGAAAAGACUAACUUAUCCUGUUUUGAACACUACAAAAGUGCUUUCUGAACCAUUUACUCUCAAACCUCCUCCACCCAUUCCCCUCCAUCUAUAACGCUUUCUGCACAUCUGUAAAAGGUAUGACUUAGUGUUUGGUCUGUGAAAUAAGGUUAAAAAGGAAGCAUUUCUUUUUACAUUCUAGCUAAUGUUGAUAUUUUUCUCAUGCUUCUAUUAGCACAUAAUUCAGAUACAUUAGUUUUGAAGUUUUGAAUCUUCUCUGCUUCUUGAGGGCUCUCUGUUCUAGAUCAACAUGAUCUGUGGAACACCAGCCAAGUCCUGGGCAGAACCCUCCCCGUUGUCCAAAUAUUACUGAAUCAGUUGAGUUUUCUCUGUUGUCAAUGAAUUAUUCCACAUGUUUCUUUGGCUACAUUUUUUUUGGCUUUCUGUUCACAGUAAAUAUAGCCUUUGUUUUUAAAAACUUCUAUUAUGAAAAUUCCAAAUAUAUGCAAAUUAGAGAGAAUAGCAUAAUGAACCUCUAUGUGCUUAUCACACAUAUAGGUUCAACUAAUUAAAUUAUAUCAAUUUAUGGCCAAUCUGGUUUCAUUUAUAACAUCAUUCGCUCAUUCCUAACUCCCUGGAUUAUUUGAUUGACAUGUUUCUAAAGUUCCUUUUAAUCUGUAGGUUCCCCCUCUCAUUUAAUCUUUUGCAACUUAUUCAUUGAUGAAACUGGGUUAUUUGUCCUUUAUUGUUUCUCUCAUUCUGAAAUAUGCUGUAAUGUCAUUAACCAUAUUCUUCUUUCCUGUAUUUUCUGUAAGCUUUGAGCUAGGCAGAAAUAUUUUAAUCAGAUUCCUUUUUUUUUCUUUUAGCAAGAUUUCUUCAUAAAUAAUAUUGUAUGUGUUCAUGAAAAUAGAAAUAAAAAUAGAAAUAAAGAAGAA
ensembl:lncRNA MIR99AHG mir-99a-let-7c cluster host gene